rnacentral:rRNA from 1 species
UGGGGAAUAUUGGACAAUGGGCAAAAGCCUGAUCCAGCCAUGCCGCGUGUGUGAAGAAGGUCUUCGGAUUGUAAAGCACUUUAAGUUGGGAGGAAGGGCAUUAACCUAAUACGUUAGUGUUUUGACGUUACCGACAGAAUAAGCACCGGCUAACUCUGUGCCAGCAGCCGCGGUAAUACAGAGGGUGCAAGCGUUAAUCGGAAUUACUGGGCGUAAAGCGCGCGUAGGUGGUUUGUUAAGUUGGAUGUGAAAUCCCCGGGCUCAACCUGGGAACUGCAUUCAAAACUGACUGACUAGAGUAUGGUAGAGGGUGGUGGAAUUUCCUGUGUAGCGGUGAAAUGCGUAGAUAUAGGAAGGAACACCAGUGGCGAAGGCGACCACCUGGACUAAUACUGACACUGAGGUGCGAAAGCGUGGGGAGCAAACA